rnacentral:sRNA from 1 species
CGCCCGUCAAACCACGAAAGUGAGCAAUACCCAAAGCCGGUGGCCUGACCGAAAGGAGGGAGCCGUCUAAGGUAGGGUUCAUGAUUGGGGUUAAGUCGUAACAAGGUAUCCCUACGGGAACGUGGGGAUGGAUCACCUCCUUUCUAAGGAGAAAGGCAUAUAAAUAAAUAUGCAUAAUCCAUUGUUCAUCAUAUUCAGUUUUGAGAGACUCUUAGUGAUCUCUCAAGAUUCAAAUAAAGUCUUUGAAAAGUAGAUAAAUGAUGUAAAGGAAAAAAUAAGGUUAAGGAAGAAAGGGCACACAGUGGAUGCCUUGGCACCAAGAGGCGAAGAAGGACGGAACUAACACCGAAAUGCUUCGGGGAGCUGUAGGUAAGCGACGAUCCGGAGAUGUCCGAAUGGGGAAACCCAACAUGUGGAAGACAUGUUAUCACUUAGCAAUAAGUGAGGCGAGACGUAGGGAACUGAAAUAUCUCAUGUACCUACAGGAAAAGAAAGUAAUAACGAUUCCGUUAGUAGUGACGAGCGAACGCGGAGGAGCCAGAUACCUAAGGUUACAAAACAUUACGAUAGAUGAACGACAUGGGAAGGUCGAGCAUAGAGGGUGAUACUCCCGUAAUCGAAAUCGUGAUGUCCGUGGUAUCAACAAGUAGGGCGGGACACGUGGAAUCCCGUUUGAAGAUAGGAGGACCAUCUCCUAAGGCUAAAUACUCCUUGGUGACCGAUAGUGAACCA